rnacentral:rRNA from 1 species
GCGAGCUUCUACGGAAGCGAAGUUGGUGACGUCAAGCUUCCAAGAAAAGCCCUAUACCCGUUAAGGCAUGAUUACCUGUACCCGAAACCGACACAGGUGGGGUGGUAGAGAAUACCGAGGGGCGCGAGGUAACUCUCUCUAAGGAACUCGGCAAAAUGACCCCGUAACUUCGGGAGAAGGGGUGCCAGCGCGAGCUGGUCGCAGUGAAUAGGCCCAGGCGACUGUUUACCAAAAACACAGGUCUCCGCUAAGUCGCAAGACGAUGUAUGGGGGCUGACGCCUGCCCAGUGCCGGAAGGUUAAAGAAGUUGGUCAGCGCAAGCGAAGCUAACGACUGAAGCCCCGGUGAACGGCGGCCGUAACGAUAACGGUCCUAAGGUAGCGAAAUUCCUUGUCGGGUAAGUUCCGACCCGCACGAAAGGCGUAACGAUCUGGGCGCUGUCUCGGAGAGAGGCUCGGCGAAAUAGAAUUGUCUGUGAAGAUGCGGACUACGUGCACCCGGACAGAAAGACCCUAUGAAGCUUUACUGUAGCUUGGUAUUGUGCUCGGGCUCGCAAUGCGCAGGAUAGGUGGGAGGCUUUGAUCCAUUGCUUGUGGGUGAUGGUGAGCCACUGGUGAGAUACCACUCCUUGCGAGCUAGGGUUCUAACGGUUACCCGUCAUCCGGGAACCGGACAGUAUCUGGUGGGCAGUUUGACUGGGGCGGUCGCCUCCUAAAAGGUAACGGAGGCGCGCAAAGGUUUGCUCAGGCUGGUUGGAAAUCAGCCGACGAGUGUAAAAGCAGAAGCAAGCUUGACUGUGAGACCUACAAGUCGAACAGGUAGGAAACUCGGCUUUAGUGAUCCGACGGUUCUGAGUGGAAGGGCCGUCGCUCAACGGAUAAAAGUUACUCUAAGGAUAACAGGCUGAUCUCCCCCAAGAGUUCACAUCGACGGGGAGGUUUGGCACCUCGAUGUCGGCUCAUCGCAACCUGGGGCUGAAGUCGGUCCCAAGGGUUGGGCUGUUCGCCCAUUAAAGCGGUACGCGAGCUGGGUUCAGAACGUCGUGAGACAGUUCGGUCCAUAUCCGGUGCAUGCGCAGGAAUAUUGAGAGGAUUUCUCCCUAGUACGAGAGGACCGGGAGGAACGCACCUCUGGUGUACCAGUUAUCGUGCCAACGGUAAACGCUGGGUAGCCAUGUGCGGAGUGGAUAACCGCUGAAAGCAUCUAAGUGGGAAGCCCACCUCAAGAUGAGUAUUCCCAUGGCUUAAGCCAGUAAGGUCACGGGAAGAACACCCGUUGAUAGGCUCUAUGUGGAAGCGCAGUAAUGCGUGAAGCAGAGGAGUACUAAUAGACCGAGGGCUUGA